rnacentral:rRNA from 1 species
AUGGACCUCCUCCAAAACGCGGAGGUGGACCUCGGAGCUCCGCCUCUAGACCCCUUUAGGGUUGGUGACGACUUGGAGGAGAAGGAGGAAGAUGAGGAGGAGGUGGGGGAUGACGAGGAGGAGGUGGCCGAGAUAGGGGAGGAGGCAUUCACCGCCGCUUCCCGCCCACACGCGCGGUCGACAAACUACACCGAGGCGGAAGAUGUCCUCUUGGUUCGUGCUUGGGCAGCUGUGGGAAUGGAUGCAACCACCGGCACCGAUCAAACCGGUAAACUCUAUUGGCAAAGGAUCGAGGACGUCUAUUGUAGGAUCAAGCCGAAGAAUAGUGGGUUCAUCCAUCGCACAUUCCGGUCGCUUCAAGGCCGUUGGGAGUUGAUCAAGCCCGCUUGUUCUCGUUGGAGUGCGGCCAUGGACCAAGUGAGGGAUGCACCACCUAGUGGAACCAUGGAGAGUGACUGUGAGACAAUUGCCGGCUUGAGGUACAAGGAGAUGGCCGCUUCCAAGGGCAAGCCAUUCCCAUUUAAGCAUGUUUGGUCAAUUCUUCAAACCUUUGACAAGUGGAAGUUGAGGGAUCAAGAGACCGCACCCAAGAGGUCGGCAAUGCUAAGGAUGGACGAUAGUGAAGAUGAGGAGGAGAGGAACGUGGGCAAGCCCGAGGGAAACAAGAAGGGCAAGCUAAGGGUGAAGAUGGAAGAAGAGGCGUCAAGCCUAAGGGAGAAGAUGGACCACAUGAUAAAGGCAAGAGAGGAAUUGACAACGAAGACAUUGGAGAUGAAGCUUCUUAUCACCGAGAAGAAGAAAGAGGUCAAGCUUGCACAAGUUGAAGCAAAACGUGAAGAAGCAAAGCGCAAGGCCGAGUUGGAGGAGAGGAUGAUCAAGCUCAAAGAGGCAAAGGUAUGGAAAGAACUCAUGGUGGAAGAGAAAGAGCACAUGAUGAUGUCCAAGAAGGACAUGGAUCAAGACCAAUUGCAAUGGUGGAAGGACUACAAGGAGGACAUCACGGAGAGGAAGAGGAUGUUUCGUGUUGCGUCCUCUACUUUUCGAGGUGACACUCCGAUGAGUAGUGUGGUGAUGGCGGUGUGUACGACUCCAUCGGUGGCGAUGGACAUGCUUGAUGGAGCCCUCUUGUGGUCUAGGAGAUGGCGCCGAGGUGCAACUUUUGGUGAUGGUGCCGAUGAGAGGAGGAAGAUGAUGAUUUUGUGA